AUACACUUAGUUUAUAGUGAAUGUAAGCUUGUCGUGCUUUUGGUGAUUAAAUAUUUUGAUAAUCAGUGUAUG
rnacentral:tRNA from 1 species